rnacentral:rRNA from 1 species
UACAUGGGGUGCAAACGUUGCUCGGAAUUAUUGGGCGUAAAGCGCGCGUAGGCGGUUACUUAAGUCGGAUGUGAAAGCCCUCGGCUUAACUGAGGAAGUGCACCCGAAACUGAGUAGCUAGAGUACGAAAGAGGGUCGCGGAAUUCCCGGUGUAGAGGUGAAAUUCGUAGAUAUCGGGAGGAACACCGGUGGCGAAGGCGGCGACCUGGGUCGAGACUGACGCUGAGGCGCGAAAGCUAGGGGAGCAAACGGG